GGGGGUGCAAUGGCUUCGACGGAGAUUUUGAAAGUUAAGGUAGCCAUUCGUAGUAGAUAUCUACGCUAAAAUAUCUAAAUUUUUAAAAAUAAUCGACAACGACGAUUUAGUUUUAGCAGCUUAAUAAAAGCUGUCGUCUACCUUAAAUCUCUUGCUGUUUAAGAGUUAGGCGCCAAAAUAAGCAAGUAACUUUUUUGUGUAAGCUUUGCCACAAAAAAACAAUCAUGAAGCUACUUUUGUAAAACUCGUGUUGGUUUGUGUUUUAUAAAAGGAAAUCGAAUAAUCAACUAUAAUGGAAGAAAUCUUUUCAGAAGGAUUUUCGGACAGGGGUUCGAUUCCCCUCACCUCCAU
rnacentral:tmRNA from 1 species